rnacentral:rRNA from 1 species
AUCGUACGGGAGGCAGCAGUGGGGAAUCUUCCGCAAUGGGCGCAAGCCUGACGGAGCAACGCCGCGUGAGUGAAGAAGGUCUUCGGAUCGUAAAGCUCUGUUGGACGGGGACGAACGUGCGAAGGGUGAAUAAUCCUUUGUAAUGACGGUACCUGUCGAGGAAGCCACGGCUAACUACGUGCCAGCAGCCGCGGUAAUCGAU